UACGUAGGGCGCAAGCGUUAUCCGGAAUUAUUGGGCGUAAAGAGCUCGUAGGCGGCUUGUCGCGUCGACUGUGAAAACCCGCGGCUCAACCGUGUGGUCUGCAGUCGAUACGGGCAGGCUAGAGUUCGGUAGGGGAGACUGGAAUUCCCGGUGUAGCGGUGAAAUGCGCAGAUAUCGGGAAGAACACCCGUGGCGAAGGCGGCACUCUGGGACGGUACUGACGCUGAGACGCGAAAGCGUGGGGAGCGAACAGG
rnacentral:rRNA from 1 species